rnacentral:lncRNA from 12 species
GAUUAUCCUGGUUAUUUACACUCCACUAAAGAGAUAAGGGCUGUGACGACAAGAGCCAGCAAGUGGGUUCUUCAUGUGCUUUCCCAGGACAGCAGCAGCUCUUGGGAGAGCAGGGUGGAAGAGAAGAGAGCAGGCACUGUCACCAGUCUCCACCACAGCCAGAUCAUUCCUUUACCUGGAAUUAAGUGUUUUACUCCAAAAUCAGGUCUUUAGAGUGGUGGGGGUUUGCACCUUGGGCUUGCAGGCAUUGUCAUCAGUCUCCAUCAUAGCCAGAUCAUUCCUUUACCUGGAAUUAAGUGUUUUAUUCCAAAAUCAGGUCUUUAGAGUGGUGGGGGUUUGCACCUUGGGCUUGCUUUUGGAGGGAAGGUAGGAGGGAAAAAGCAGCAGUAAAUAACUACUUGCGUUACUCAUCACAACAGGAGCAAAGAAUCUGUUCUCAUGCACUGAGGGCAUCACAAAUCCCACAAAAACAGGAGUCCUAGACAUAUUACACGUAAGACCUUCAGUGAACUCCCCUUUGCUCCAUGUAGCCUCCCUAGCCCUGUGCUGCUGCCCAACCUGUUCUGCCUGCAAAGCAAAGCCAGGGCAGGGCCUGGAAGGGUUUGGACCAACUUUUCACCACGCAGCAACAUCCCUGUGUGCUGACUCUGCCACGUUUGCUGUUGCCUCAACCUCAGCACCUGGAUAAGCCCAGAGCCCCGGGGCUGUGCCAGGAAGGCGAUCCCAAGGCCAGGGGCGCACAGGGACGGGAUUCAGCGCGGGAAGGGCGAGGGCCCCGUUGGCCCUGCUGGGAAGGAGCUGAGGGAGCCGGGCACAUCCCGCACUCCCAGCUGAGCUGGGCGGCUGAAUCAGCGCGGGGGGACGGCCACGGACUGCUGACACACAGCUGCAAUAAAUCACCACCUUUCUGGAGCAACCAGCGGUGACUUAGUCAUCCUCCGUCCUGACGCCAUUCCAGGAGCAGAGCCACAGACAUCUCCCCGCUUUGGGCCGUGCCCGUGGCCCAAAAAUAGCUUUUAAGCCAAAUCCUGCAGUCAUCAUUCCAAGUUGAAACCCUUUUAUUUACACUCAGCAAGAACUCAUGUAUGUUUUUGACAAUGCUGAGAGUAACCAGUGCUUAAAUUAUUUGCUUAGCAAAGGAGUCUAUUUAACUACAAGAGUUAGACCAGUAUGCAAUGUUUUCUGACCCACAUAGAAACUAAUAAUUUGCAUUUUAUGGAACCACUUUACAUAGACAACCCAUCAUAAUGGCCAACAGCUUACUGUACAAGAAUUAAUAAUUGAAAAGCAACUCGUCAGCACGGUUAUUUUCUUUACAGGUG